UAGCUGAUCCCUCCACUGUAACAAACCUAUAUUAUCAACACAUAUAAAUGCAUAUUUCAGAUUGGUACUUGAAAGUCAAUGGUUGAUCAAGAUGACCAUCUUUUAUUUAAUGGAGAAAGAAACCAAUAUUUGCAGCUGGACAGGCUGUCACCACAGUUCAAUGAUUCAGUUAAGACAAUGAAAUUGAAGAACUCAACACUUGCACCAGUGGAAGUACUUCUUAUUGGAUAGAGAACUUUUCAAGGUCAGACAUCAGCUUUUGAAGUUGCUUUCUUGGCACAUCAUGCUGUCCAGUGGAGUUCAUACCAUAUGCCAGGCCUUUAUACAUGGUCAAAGAAGAUGAAUUUGUUAUUCAAUUUGUGAAAUUUGAUUUAGCGAGGACUUUCAUAUAUGAUGAUUA